CGGGGAGCGAGCCCCGGGGGCCGUCCGUCACCCGCCCCGGCGCCGCUUCCGGGCCCGUCCUCCCGCCGGCCCGAGCAGCACCGGCGCCGAGCGGGGAGCGACGCGGGAAGCGUCGUUCACAGGACGGGAGCACCACCACGACUAUAAACAGCGGCCGCCCCCGGCGGAAAGGGGCGAAAGCGCAGCGAAAAACGGGUGUGUUUACCAGCGCCACUGCUGUCAGCUGGCUAAACGCGCUGCGGGGCUGCUAAACCGGAGUUGCUUCCUGCCGCCAUUCACACGUUACCCUGCCUUCUUAGCAAAAGGACAUACCGUGCUGUGAAAGCACAGAAUGCAAACAUUUUGUCAUAGUUACUGUGUAAGGGUAAUUAAAAAAUCAAACUGGCCAGGUAUAUUUCUUAAAAUUGAUCUUGAGAAUAGGCCUAAGUGACUGUGGAUGAACACGACAGACAAUUUAUAAAAAUGAAUGGAUGCUCGUGUUACCAGGACAUAGCUAUGAACAGUCACACGCAGUUGAAACUCUCCUUUGAUGCCUUGUAUGAACUGUUUAUUAUAGCAAUAGCCAUUUUUUUGAUUGGAAUGAAGGAAUAAAUCAACUUUCACGGUAAUAGAAGCUUUCUUCUACUGUCUGCGGGAAAUGGCUGAGAGAUCCAACAUCAUUUUCUGGUCAUCUAGAAAUCAUACCCUCCUAUCGACAACAACAGGAUCAAGCGAUCUUGAAGAACGUACCAACUCAAGACUCAGAAAUUCAUGGAAACUUAUGACCUCAGUAGAUUACAUCUCCAUUCUGAAUGACUCAGUAAGGCAUUCUGUUGGCAAAUUUAAAGAAAAUGUUCUCCUGAUUAGAGCCCAUUACAUUCAUUGUCUGAGUGUGACUAGUGGCACUACUAACUGUUAA
rnacentral:lncRNA from 1 species